rnacentral:rRNA from 1 species
GAACGAGAAAGUGUAGCAAUACAUGAGUAAAGUGGCGACCGGGUGAGUAACACGUGACUAACCUACCCUUGAGUGGGGGAUAACCUCGGGAAACCGGGGCUAAUACCGCAUAACAUCGCGAGGUGAAAUUCCUUGUGAUCAAAGGAGCAAUUCGCUGAAGGAGGGGGUCGCGGCUGAUUAGCUAGUUGGUGAGGUAACGGCUCACCAAGGCGAUGAUCAGUAGCCGGCCUGAGAGGGCGCACGGCCACACUGGAACUGAAACACGGUCCAGACUCCUACGGGAGACAGCAGUGGGGAAUUUUGCGCAAUGGGGGAAACCCUGACGCAGCAACGCCGCGUGGAGGAUGAAGUCCCUUGGGAUGUAAACUCCUUUCGAUCGGGACGAUAAUGACGGUACCGGAAGAAGAAGCACCGGCUAACUCUGUG